UACGGGGGGAGCAAGCGUUGUUCGGAUUUACUGGGCGUAAAGGGCGCGUAGGCGGUAGCACAAGUCAGUUGUGAAAUCUCCGAGCUUAACUCGGAAAGGUCAACUGAUACUGUGCGACUAGAGUGCAGAAGGGGCAACUGGAAUUCUCGGUGUAGCGGUGAAAUGCGUAGAUAUCGAGAGGAACACCUGCGGCGAAGGCGGGUUGCUGGGCUGACACUGACGCUGAGGCGCGAAAGCCAGGGGAGCGAACGGG
rnacentral:rRNA from 1 species